UCCGCCAUGGUGUAAUGGCAGCACGCGGGUCUUUGGAACCCUCAGUCUAGGUUCGAGUCCUAGUGGCGGAG
rnacentral:tRNA from 1 species